rnacentral:tRNA from 1 species
GGACUAUUGGUGGAAAUCGGUAGACACGGCAUAUUACCAAUAUGCUGCCAGCAAUGGCGUGCGGGUUCGAAUCCCGCAUUGUUGA